CAAGAUUUUCGUUUACUUGGUAUGUACAAGAUUUUCGUAUACUUGGUAUGUACAAGUUUUUCGUUUACUUGGUAUGUACAAGAUUUUCGUUUACUUGGUAUGUACAAGAUUUUCGUAUACUUGGUAUGUACAAGAUUUUCGUUUACUUGGUAUGUACAAGAUUUUCGUAUACUUGGUAUGUACAAGAUUUUCGUAUACUUGGUAUGUACAAGAUUUUCGUAUACUUGGUAUGUACAAGAUUUUCGUUUACUUGGUAUGUACAAGAUUUUCGUUUCUGGGUAUGUACAAGAUUUUCGUUUACUUGGUCCAUGUAUAUACAAGUAUACAUUUAUUUGGUCUGUAGAAUUAAAAGUUUUACUUGAUAAGUGCAAGGUAUAAAUGUUCUCGGUAUAUAUGUGACAUAUAAUUGCUUGGUAUAUGUACAAGUUAUACGUUUAUUUGAUAUGCACAAGUUUUAGGUUUUAGGUUUACUCGAUGUGCGCGCAUUUUGUACGUCUGGAGAGAAGAGGAAGGAUCACGUGAUUUCUAUUUUUAUUGAACUGAUAACAAUGGCAGCAAUCAUCACAACUGAACGUUUUACAGACUGGGAAGUAUUAAAUAUUCUAUUGUUCUUUCUAAUAUCGUAGUUUGACAAUUCAUGAGAUCAGAAAAUGGGGGUAAGAGGAACUGAUAAUUGAGAUUUACACAUUAAGGUUUGUACAACUUUUCUUCAUUCUUUGAUGUACAUUCUGAAGGGAAUAUUUGAAACAUAAUUGUUAUCUAAAUAAUGAAUGAUUAUUUCUUCGUAUAUAUUGUGCUAAUAUCACUGACCGGGAAGUAUUAUCCAACGCAUAUAUUUACAUUACAAAAAUGUCAAUGCUUUGUAAUUUACUGCUCACAAUUUGCAUGCAAGUAAUUUUGGCAGAACAUCAACAGUUAGCUCAUUUUACUAAAGAGGGUUUUUUAAUCGGAGAGAGAGAGAGAUUCCUCUUUCUCUCUACCCCUUUCUAUGUGUAAUGUUAAAUCCCUGUUUUCCCCAUUGGGGUUGGUGGAUGGAGAUCAGAUAUGGACUGAUGUCUGUCAUCCGUUAAACACUUUAUCAGUCGGAGGAACAACCAGACAGUCUUUAUCCAGAAUACGUGGACUUAACACAGAACACACACCCUCACCAGAGAAUACGUGGACUUAUCACUGAGCACAUACCCUCACCAGAGAAUACGUGGACUUAUCACUGAGCACAUACCCUCACCAGAGAAUACGUGGACUUAUCACUGAGCACAUACCCUCACCAGAGAAUACGUGGACUUAUCACUGAGCACACACCCUCACCAGAUAAUAUGUGGACUUAACACAGAACACACACCCUCACCAGAUAAUACGUGGACUUAACACAGAACACACACCCUCACCAGAUAAUACGUGGAUUUAACACAGAACACACACCCUCACCAGAUAAUACGUGGACUUAACACAGAACACACACCCUCACCAGAGAAUACGUAGAUUUAUCACUGAGCAUAUACCCUCACCAGAUAAUACGUGGACUUAACACUGAGCACACAUCCUCACCAGAUAAUAUGUGGGCUUAAGAACUUGUUAAAACUGCUGUGUAGAAGGUUGAGAUAGUUGUUGCUGUCAACCUCUCGUAGCUAUAUGGGGUAGGGGUAUAAUUUCAGGCCUACUAACUGAAUAUCUGCAUGGAAAUACAAAUUUAUGGUUGAAUAUAUUAUAUAACAUUCUAUCAUUUCAUUUUGAUUGAAUGCAUUAAUGAUUAGAUUUGUAAUCGAUACAUUGAAUGUUGGAAUACAUUACAGGAUGUAUGUAGGCCAAAGUCAGAUCCACACGAAAUCAGCCCAAGCUAGGGACGGACACAGAUUUUGUACACUCGAUUUAAAAUGCAUGAGUGUAGCCUGUUUGGAAGCACGGGUAGAACCGGAACAAGGCUACUGUUUACACCGUUCCGGAGUACAGAUCGGGGCCGAUUUGUCGAGGAAUCAGUCUAUAUAACGAUACUCGGAUUACCGAUUGAUUGAAUAUUGUUUAACGUCCCUCUAGAAUAUUUCACUCAUAUGGAGACGUCACCAUUGCCCGUAAAGGACUGCAGAGUUUAGGCCUCUGCUACAUCUGCUGUGACACGGGACCUCGGGGU